AUUCGUGCGGUUGUUCGGUAGAUUGAAUCUACCGAACACCGGGCAGAAAAGCACGAAUAAGUCUUUUCUGCAGGGGAAACAAAGUCUUUUAACAUGGGGCCAUGAUCCAAAGGUAGCAGGCGAGCAACCAGGCUUCUCCAAUGCAAUGUGGCGAGAUUGCUCUCGUCACAUCUAUGUAGCACUUAGUGUGCACACUUUCACUUGAUAGCGCUGCCCUCAUUUUUUUCUUUCUACUUCUGUU